rnacentral:rRNA from 1 species
UACGGAGGACGCGAGCGUUAUCCGGAUUCAUUGGGUUUAAAGGGUGCGCAGGCGGCUGCCUAAGUCGGCGGUGAAAUCCCGGGGCCCAACCCCGGAAGUGCCGUCGAUACUGGGUGGCUGGAAUGCGGUCGGGGCGGGCGGAACGUGGCGUGUAGCGGUGAAAUGCGUAGAUAUGCCACAGAACGCCGGUAGCGGAGGCAGCUCGCCAGGCCUGCAUUGACGCUCGGGCACGAAAGCGUGGGGAUCGAAC